GUGGACUGAAGUUUCUGGAAUUCUUUGCUGGAGGAGCGGAUAGGAGCUGCUGAAUUAAUCAGGAUAAAUAUCAGAGAAUUUAAUGACAAGACGCAUCAAGUUUAUUUAAUGCAACAACUGCUUUGACAUGAGGAAACAAUAUGACAGAUGUAGCCAGUGAGAAAUGGUUUCUACAUAUAGAUUUUGGCACUGAAAAAGAGAGGAGAGGUGAUGGAACUAAUGCAUUGCAUCCUUUGAGGGUACAACGGAGAUUCACGCAAUGUAAGCCAAAGCAUCUCUUCUCUGUUAGUCCUUCAAAGUUUAAUUUGCUAUUUAUUUUUCCCAAGAGGCCUUUGGGGGGUGCAGUCAGCGUUAACAAGCAAGCGGCUGACAGUAAGAAAGGUCAGACUAUGAAAGUUAAAAUACAAGUAUUUGUUGAGUAGCUAGAGAAGGUCAGGCACAAUGAACUGAAGCAUCUUGGGGAGAAGAGGCAAUUUAGACAAAAAGAUUUUUUUCUUCUUCAAUAAAAGGUUUGUUUAAGGUUUCAUGGGAAAUAGGAGCCAAGGGCUUAGACAGAGAUUACUUAAGCAGCAUGUUGCUAUUUGGAAGAGCUUAACAACAUUAAAUGUAUAUAUUUUA